UACGUAGGGGGCAAGCGUUGUCCGGAAUUAUUGGGCGUAAAGAGCGCGUAGGCGGUCCGAUAAGUCGGCUGUGAAAGUCAGGGGCUCAACCCUUGAAAGCCGGCCGAUACUGUCGGACUAGAGUCCGGAAGAGGCGAGUGGAAUUCCCGGUGUAGCGGUGAAAUGCGCAGAUAUCGGGAGGAACACCAAUGGCGAAGGCAGCUCGCUGGGACGGUACUGACGCUGAGGAGCGAAAGCGUGGGGAGCGAACAGG
rnacentral:rRNA from 1 species